UUAAAAAUUUGUAAAUACAAUAAAGCAUAAAGGCAGUAAAUAUUUAUAAUGUACAUUAACUUACAACAUUUGCUUUUUCAAGACAAUGCAUGAUAUGAUAGGUAACUAUUCUUGGCUCAGAGUUUUUUAAUCUCCAAUUGGUAUUGUUACACUGCAAGUUACAGCUUUGAAUAUAUUUCCUAUUUCCAGUUCUGAUACCGACUGCGAGAGUCAUGCAAGGGUCCCAAGUAACACGCUGCCUGAUGAACCAACAAGUUCUUCCACAGCGACGCAUUUUCCCUCCUUUCAAACUCCAAUCAAGAGGUCUAUCACUUCAAAUUACACUAAUCCAAGAGUGCCGAACAAAACAACAAUUCGACCUAGUCCAAGUAUGAUGAGGGAUGCUGGAAAUGUAACACUUC